rnacentral:rRNA from 1 species
AACGAACGCUGGCGGCAUGCCUAACACAUGCAAGUCGAACGAGACCUUCGGGUCUAGUGGCGCACGGGUGCGUAACGCGUGGGAACCUGCCCUUAGGUUCGGAAUAACUCCCCGAAAGGGGUGCUAAUACCGGAUAAUGUCUUCGGACCAAAGAUUUAUCGCCUUUGGAUGGGCCCGCGUUGGAUUAGCUAGUUGGUAGGGUAAAAGCCUACCAAGGCGACGAUCCAUAGCUGGUCUGAGAGGAUGAUCAGCCACACUGGGACUGAAACACGGCCCAGACUCCAACGGAAGGAAGAAGGGGGGAAAAUUGAAAAAUGGCGAAAGCCUGAUCCAGCAAUGCCGCGUGAGUGAUGAAGGCCUUAGGGUUGUAAAGCUCUUUUACCCGGGAUGAUAAUGACAGUACCGGGAGAAUAAGCUCCGGCUAACUCCGUG